rnacentral:rRNA from 1 species
GACGAACGCUGGCGGCGUGCUUAACACAUGCAAGUCGAACGGAAAGGCCCUGCUUUUGUGGGGUGCUCGAGUGGCGAACGGGUGUGUAACACGUGAGUAACCUGCCCUUGACUUUGGGAUAACUUCAGGAAACUGGGGCUAAUACCGGAUAGGAGCUCCUGCUGCAUGGUGGGGGUUGGAAAGUUUCGGCGGUUGGGGCUGGACGCGGGGCUAAUCAGCUUGUUGGUGGGGUAGUGGCUUACCAAGGCUUUGACGGGUAGCCGGCCUGAGAGGGUGACCAGGGACAUUGGGACUGAGAUACGGACCAGACUCCUACGGGAGGCAGCAGUGGGGAAUAUUGCACAAUGGGCGGAAGCGUGAUGCAGCAACGCCGCGUGCGGGAUGACGGCCUUGGGGUUGUAAACCGCUUUCGCCUGUGACGAAGCGUGAGUGACGGUAAUGGGUAAAGAAGCACCGGCUAACUACGUG